rnacentral:rRNA from 1 species
CGGCGAACCUGACGGCGUGCCUAAUACAUGCAAGUCGAGCGGUCAGUAUGGGAGCUUGCUCCCUGAUGUUAGCGGCGGACGGGUGAGUAACACGUGGGUAACCUGCCUGUAAGACUGGGAUAACUCCGGGAAACCGGGGCGAAUACCGGAUGCUUGUUUGAACCGCAUGGUUCAAACAUAAAAGGUGGCUUCGGCUACCACUUACAGAUGGACCCGCGGCGCAUUAGCUAGUUGGUGAGGUAAUGGCUCACCAAGGCAACGAUGCGUAGCCGACCUGAGAGGGUGAUCGGCCACACUGGGACUGAGACACGGCCCAGACUCCUACGGGAGGCAGCAGUAGGGAAUCUUCCGCAAUGGACGAAAGUCUGACGGAGCAACGCCGCGUGAGUGAUGAAGGUUUUCGGAUCGUAAAGCUCUGUUGUUAGGGAAGAACAAGUACCGUUCGAAUAGGGCGGUACCUUGACGGUACCUAACCAGAAAGCCACGGCUAACUACGUGCCAGCCGCCGCGGUAAUACA